GAUGGGACUUAAAUGCACAAAAUGCAUCAGAUCCCAUCUGAUUUUUGAUGCUAAGCAGGCUUAACUCUGGUUAGUACUGUAAUGGGAGACCACCAACAAAUGCUAGAUAGUGCAGACU
rnacentral:rRNA from 1 species